rnacentral:rRNA from 1 species
UACGGAGGGUGCAAGCGUUUAUCCGGAUUUACUGGGUUUAAAGGGCGCGUAGGUGGGCGAGAAAGUCAGUGGUGAAAUCUCCGGGCUUAACCCGGAAACUGCCAUUGAUACUAUUUGUCUUGAAUACUUUGGAGGUAAGCGGAAUAUGUCAUGUAGCGGUGAAAUGCUUAGAUAUGACAUAGAACACCAAAUUGCGCAGGCAGCUUACUACACAGUAAUUGACACUGAGGCACGAAAGCGUGGGGAUCAAACAGG